GACCCCGCACAAGCGGCGGAGCAUGCGGCUUAAUUCGAUGAUACCCGUAGAACCUUACCUGGACUUGACAUAUAGGGUCAAGCUAUAGAGAUAUAGUGUGCAUUAGCGCCCUAUACAGGUGGUGCAUGGCUGUCGUCAGCUCGUGUCGUGAGAUGUUGGGUUAAGUCCCGCAACGAGCGCAACCCCCUGUCCUAUGUUGCCAGCAUUUAGUUGGGGACUCAUAGGAGACUACCGGUGAUAAACCGGAGGAAAGGUGGGGACGACGUCAAGUCAUCAUGCCCCUUAUGUCCAGGGCUGCACGCAUGCUACAAUGGCAAGUACAACGAGUCGCAAUACCGCGAGGUGGAGCAAAUCUCUUAAAGCUUGUCUC
rnacentral:rRNA from 1 species